AGAUCUCCUUUGGGGAGCUUUCCCUUGCAAUCAUAGAAUCUUCUGUUACAGUAGCUACAAGGAUGUAAGCUGUCUAGGCGUAAAGCAGGACGUUAACUUCCCCCAGAUUACUUCUGCCUCAUUCAUGUUAGAAUUAAGGUACCAGGACAAACUCCAGGAUGAACACGGUAUUAGAGGCCUUGGCUUGGAAACCAGCAUCAUUCCUUCAUGUCAAACCCUGCAGUGAUGGGCUGCAGCCCCCGAAAUCAGCUGUGAUGUAUCUGUGCCCUCUGGAAGCUCACUCUCCGAUGAGAUUAACAGCGGCCUCUAGCCGGAGCCUGGGCAAACCGUUAGGAGUAGCAUUUGGUAAUUCAGCGUUUGGUUAAGGAGGCAGGGAGACGGGAGGAGCAGCUGGGAGGCGGAGCGUUGAGUGCGGCACGGCGCGAUGGAGGACUGCGAAAGAACCGCGCCGGCCGAAGACGCCGCGCACUACCGCCUCUCGGCCGCGGCGACGGCACCGCGGUGCGCCUGGAGCCGCUGCUGGGCGCCUCCAUCUGGCAGCGCUUCCGGCUGCGGGGGGGCUGCACAUUCUGCUGUGAGAGACCGAAGAGCAGCAGUGGGAGCUAUGUGCUGAAUGCCUAACCAUCUCAGAAGCAUUAGAAUUGUUAUUUGCCCAUUCAGAGGAUUUCCUUGCUGCAGAACCCAUUCAAAGAGCUGUGUAUAAACACAUCAGUGGCUAUGCUGAGAAAAUCCAGGCCUCUUAAUAUUGAGAGCACAGCAAGCAUUGUGGCAGUGCUGAAACAACACCCAUUGUUGGCGGCUGCAGCAGUCCAGGACUUCUACCUGCAGAACCCUGCUGAUGUGCAGCCUGUGCAGCAGAAGUUUGCCCCAGGCAGGAGCAAUGGAUAUGUGCUGCUCCUUCUGUCCCACCCUCAGCACAAGGACCAUGAGCUGGGCAUGAAGCUGCGAGAAGUUUGAAUAGCAGUCGUCAUGAAAUGUGGCUGUGAAAAGCAAGUGGAUGAAGAAUGGCAUACAUUCCUGCUUGUGUGUUGGAUUGAAUAGGGAGAAAUGCAAGGCUCUGCGGAGUACUUUUAAUUAUUGCAUAUGACAGAAUGUUACUUCCAGCAAUCUGUUAAUAAGCUAGAAAGCUCUGAAGUGAGUCCUGGUGAUGAAAACUUGACACUGCUAUGGGCAACAUUUGAUGUGAAUGAGCUUGAGAGAAGCGGCUUGUCUUCCUCCAGAGGAUGGGGAGCAGGAUGAUGGGGGUGGACUUUUUUCCCAUUGCAAGCAGUUAUUUGUGGCAAGUUCUGUUAAAGCAACUACAUCUCAAAAUGCUGGCCUUGAUUCUCAAGAGGAAUAUGCUGGGCUGACACCAGUUGAUGUGGAUAUGAACCUAGUAACUAACCUGCUUGAAUCUCACAGAGCUCAGGCUGUGCUGGCAGGACUCACCGCUAACAUUUUACAGAACAUGGGCGUGUGUUUAGCGAAAUUACAGAUAGGAUUGGUUCUAGUGAAGGUGCAACAGAAUAAGAGGCUGUCUCAAUUCAAAAGACAGGACUGUUUGGGAAAAGAGACAGAAGAAGUAGCAGCAUUUGGGAGAAAAGAUGAGGUCUGAAUUUAAAGCAUUUUAUAUAUGUGUUGUGUGGAUUUAAAGGCAUAAAGUGAAUUUAUCUGGAAAUGCUGUCUACAUGCAUACUGUCUUAGGAUUAGCAUUUUUUCCAGUAGUAGUAUGCUUUCAGAAAAGUGCAAAAUGAUGUUGUGAGUGGAAUGAAACUCUUGUUACAAAAUGUCUUUAAAGUUGCCAUUCCAAUUUGCCAUAUUUCCAAAAUAUCCUUUAUCCAUAGCAAGGUGCUGUCAAUAUAUGGAAAAUGCUGCUGCAUUCACAGGAAGACAGGAAUACCAUGCGGGAGUUCUCAUGUGGGUUUGGGAAUGCUGAUUCAAUGUUCAUCACAUGUUUAAUUGCUUCUCCAGAAGUAGAAAUGCUGUAUUCUAAAAACUUCUGAUAAUUGUUGUAAGAAUGUUGUUUUCACUCAUUAGGAGUGUUUGAGUAAGCUAAUAGAAUAUGUAAAUAGUGCUAUAAUACUGAGUUUAUUUAAAAUAAAAGUACAACUUGAUGGCUGGAGCUGCUUUUUUCUUUGAAGGUAUGCAUGACUUCUGUAGGGAAGUAUUGGAAGUUGUUGGAGUUGAAGCGUUUUCACUGUAGGGCCUUUUCUGGAUUCCAUUAUGACUGAGCGUUGGUGGUGUGCCAGCAGUAGCUGUGUAUGAGCUCAGUCUGAACAGCUUAGUUUUGCUGUUUAGGAAAAAUAUAACCUGGAGUUGCUUUCACAUGGAGUGAAUAAUCUAUUCUGGAUAUGAAGACUUAGUUUUAACCAGGUAACUAUUAAAGAAAAUACAUAGCAAUUCUUGAUUUGUAGAGAGCAAUUCCACACAAUUAGUCAAGUGUCUGAGCAGGCAGAAGAGAAGCUCAAUGGUGAGCUUUUGCUGCUGGUGAGCUUUUUUGGAAUGUACUCAGAAAAACAUGAUGGCAGGUAUCAUCAUCUAACUGCUGUGCCAACGAAGUUUGCAACAAAGCACAGAAAAAAAAUCUUUGGAAGUGACACAUUGCCAUCAGUCCACUGAAAUUCAAGAGCCUGUCACAAUUUACAUUGAGUGCUUGCUUGCUGACUUUUCAACUGAUCUGUACUAUGGUGGUUUUUGCAGUUUUUUCUAUUUGUUGGGUUUAGUUGUGUUUUUCUACUGUUUCUUGGGUUAGGCUUUUUUUGUUUUGUAAACAAGGAAUGUCUUGUAAAAUGUUCCAGUACAAAUCAAAACCAUGGAGUCUGUAUACCUGAAUGAAAUGAGCAUGAACAAGGAGUGCAGUGGCUGUGCUGUCUCUGCAUUUGGUAUUUGAUGUUGUGUAAGAAUGAGGGGCUACAGUGAUGCAGCUGGAGUUUGAAGAGUUUUGGAUUGCAGAGUAAGGUGAUAUGGGGGUUAGACAAACCUAUGCUGGAAUCCAGAAACCAAGAAACAGUUCUUGGAUCUAGCAGGCAAGGAUAACCAGCAGUUAAUACUGGAAAACAGACCUUCUUCAACACUGGAAAUGUGGAAUGUGGAGGCUACCUAACAUUUUCCACUGAGUUGUUAGAUAAAUACUUUCAAAAUGCAUUUGGAUUUGUGAGUUUGGAUUGCCUGUGGCCUGUACUGCACAAGUCAACAAUAUCAGAGGACUCUUUAAAAGUGUUAUCCGAAAACGAAAAACAAAAAACCUGAGCAAGUUCAGAACAAAGCAGCUCUUCUGGAGGCACUCCAGCUGAUCUUGUUUCUUGGGUAAUGACUUCAGUCAACCAAACUGUUAUUUCUGUCAGGUGGCAUUUACUCCAACUCCUUCCAUUUGUUUAGCAGCUUCACAGCAGAGACCUUCAGUACUAUGGAUCUACUCAGUGGAGGAUUUGCCAUCUAGGAAUCAGCACUUGCAUGCUGCCUCUUGCCCUGCUUUGAAGUAGCACACGAGGUGUUUCUGCUUUUAAUUUUGAAAGAAUAGUUUCAGUGAAGGAAUCCUGAUGGAAUCAAUUAGGGAAGACAAGUACAGCGUGUUUCCCUUUCAACGGCUUGCCAUUAAAGUUUCCAUUAUAUUAUGAACCAGUACUUCAUUCCAACUAACUCUAUUCACUUUGCUCACUUGAGCAUCUGAUGUUUGUACAGCUUUGCUUAUCCCAGGACUUCUGACCCUUCCCAGAAAUGCAGUUUCUUUGUUUGUGGCUUAAUUCCUGGAGCCUGGGUUCUGAAUGGAGUGGUUGUUGACUGGUAUGCCGCAAGAAAGAAGACAACAGGUCCUUCCUCUUCUGUAUACCAGAUGGAAAUGAAUCCCAUGAGGUGGUGGAGAUCUUGAACUUGUUCAGACUCCCUGGAACACCUGGCCAUUUUGGCAGCUGCCACUCUUUUCAUCAAUCAGCUCUAUGGAGUAGAGGGGAACUGAAGAAAGAGCACCUCUAACUAAUCACUGUUAGCAGGAGGCAUGCAGUUCAGCUUAGAAGUCAGCAGCUCACAGGCCAGCAAUGCUGUCAGUGUGAGUUCAGCUCCUUUCUGGUCCCUGGGGAGAAGGUGCAGCUUGAGCUGUGCAAGUGCAGCUUUGGUGGUGUUGCCUGCUAUUUGGUGUCUCUGUGCCUGUAAAUAAACCAUUAUCGGAAUCCUUGCUGUAUAAGUAAGCAGAUGGCACCCUCCCCUUUUGCCAUGAAGGAUUGCCACCCUGCAUAGGACUUUUCCCCAUCUUUCCUUGUAAAAUAAGAGUAACAAUUACCUCCAGGGCACUCAUUACUUGCAAUAGCGGACAAAUAAUUUUUACGGAUACUUGCACAGCUCCUGCUGCAGCUAUUUACGUAAUUUGAGAAACUGGAGUUGGUCUUCAAUAGCAGCAGGAGUCAGAGCAGGCCCUUGGUACCACCUCAGGGUCCCAUGGGAUGCUGCAGAGGCUGCAGCAUCAGCUGCUCCUCCCCCUUGGCAUUUCUGUUCUGGAAUGGAACAUAAGUGCAUCUUGGCAAGUCUGAGAUGGAAAUGUAU
ensembl:lncRNA